rnacentral:sRNA from 1 species
AGCCUAAACCCAGUAGUGAUACUUGGCAUGGCACAAAAUCCUAGUGAAUAUUAACGGGCUUCUGCUCGGUCCUAUUCACUAGGUCUACUUCCGAAAGGUUGUAGGAUGUCGCAAGGCAUC